rnacentral:lncRNA from 12 species
AGGGGAAGGGGGGGAAACUGAAUGGGGAAAAAUUAGAGAGGAAGGCAAACCAUGAGAGACUCCUAACUCUGGGAGACCGGCAAAGGGUUGCAGAAGGGAAGGUGGGUGGGGGGAUGGAGUAAAUGGGUGAUGGGGAUUAAGGAGGGUGUGUGAUGAGGUGAGCACUGGGUGUUAUACUAUAUGUUGGCAAAUUUAAUUUAAAUGAAAAAAAUAAAAUUUACAAAAGCCUAAUUUUAGCCUUCUUCCUUAUAUUUGACAGAACCAUGUGGUGAUCAUCAUUUUCAGAAGCCAAGUUACAGAAAUGUGAUGCAUAAGGAACUGAAGUUCUACUUCAAUAACAAACUGGUGACCAUCUAGUGGAAAAAUCAAGAGGCCCAAUAUUCCCCUUCAGGGGCUUGCCAGUAUCCUCAAAAGACCUCUCUCUAAUACCAGGGCCUCUGCUACGCUGGUGAUUGCCCAAGAUAGAAGAAACCUGAAUCUUGUAGACUCUUGUAGAGUCUUUGGAUGGAAGAGGACUCCCACAAACACACUGCCUUAAUUUAGUGCCAGGAACCGUCAUACUGACAGCUUUCUCCAUGUCUGUGAACUGAUCUGAAGCUGCAUUUUCGCUUUGUUCUGUGGAUGGCUUUUUCAGUCUACCGCCUGUUUGCUCCCGGCUCACCUCCUCACCAGAAAGAAUAUAAGUGAGGGAUGAGAGAAUGGUAAUAAAAUAUUCUUUUCUUUCUUUAUCA